ensembl:lncRNA
CGCUGUCCCGCGCCGGUCGUUGAGCCAGGAAGCGGUGCCCUGGUGGGGGGGAGGACGGCUUUGCUCCUUCGGCAGUAACUGCUGCUGCACGCGUGGUUUUUAGGAAGCAGACAGGAUCUGAGCCUCUCUUCUCUGGGGAAUUUAAGCCUCGCAGAAGUGUUCUUCGACUUUUACCCGUCAGGUUAAUCGAGCUUAGAUAACGUACACUUCACUUAUUUAUUAUAGAUGGCAUUUUGAUCAAGAUAGUAUUUUGAUAAUAUUUUUAAGAUUUCAGGCAAAAUAUGCAGUUCCAAGGGCUCCUGCUGUGUGCUGAAAUAACAUCGUGAACAGCAAUGCCUGUCGGUGAAAUGGUAACUUGGAGUAGUAAGAGUAAUUUCUGUUAUGACAUCGGUGGUUACGUGCUACUAAAGCAGCUUACCACUUCGAGGUUAGUAGUUUGUCAGCAGUAUUUGCAUUAUGCAAACACUUCCUGUUUUAAUGAUUCAGUAGCUUUAGCCUUCUCAAGAUAUACCAGGUAGGAAUGUGACGUGGGAAAUGACAGCUUGCAUAGUUUAGUCAGUGUGGGGUGCAGCAUUUAAAACAGAAACAAAAGAGAAAAUCAUCAUGAUGCAUUUUUACAUCAGGGCUUAAAACAAACCACCAAAAAGCCCGAAGUGUUUUGUCGGUAUUGUGAUGUAAGUUCUUAGAAAUAGCAUUAGCAUGAAUUUACCUGAUAGGAAAAGAAGCUGAGUGGAGGAAAUUAAUUUUCUUCUGCUCAGUCCUGCAUUUACUUAUUACCUAGAACAACGUUUCCUCUCCUGAGCUUUUAGAAUAUUUCUGCUGCUUUUAUAAAAUUACUUUGAAUUGAUGAAUAGUUCAAAAAAUAGAUCUUGAAUGUGGUGGAUCGACUGCAUUACGUUUUGUUAAUGUUUAUGAUUUUUCAAUCUCGUUCCGUGGCAAUAAGAUGUUAUUCAAGUUAAGCGUAAUAGAAAUUGUGCUUGGUUUUAGGGAAAUCUUGUAGGCUCCAUUCCUAUGGAAAGUGUAGGGUCAGUGGGGCGGCUGGCUUUUUGAAGUUAGCGCAUUCAUUUAGAUGUCGAAAGCUAUACAACAACACAUUAACAUUGCACACUUUUUUUCCCCCCUUCUGCAGCUGCAUCAUUAUACCAUUCCAAUCCUUGCAUUUCCUUAAAUGGCUUCCAUAACAAUCUCCCAUUAAUACAGUUACUGGCAGAUAGUAUUCUUUCUUUGCUCUCAUUUUAGCAGUUAUAACUGAUAGUAAAUCUCACUUUUCUGUGAGCAUGGUCUGAUUAGAUUUUCAGGAGCCUUUUUGUAAAACGC